rnacentral:rRNA from 1 species
CUCUACACUCUACCAUU